UACGUAGGGAGCAAGCGUUGUCCGGAAUCAUUGGGCGUAAAGCGCGUGUAGGCGGCUUUGCAAGUCGGAUGUGAAAGCCCUCGGCUCAACCGAGGAAGUGCGUUCGAAACUGCAGAGCUUGAGUGCCGGAGGAGGGUGGCGGACUUCCCAAGUAGAGGUGAAAUUCGUAGAUAUCGGGAGGAACACCGGUGGCGAAGGCGGCAUCCUGGACCGGUAUUGACGCUGAGGCGCGAAAGCCAGGGGAGCAAACGGG
rnacentral:rRNA from 1 species